ensembl:snoRNA SNORA72 Small nucleolar RNA SNORA72
CUGGGAAUAUUCUUACUGUUCUGAUUUUGUAAUGAUCAGGGCAGGCUAAACACUCAGUAUAUUAAGACCAGGUAUGUGUCCCCGGACCUAGUUCUUUCCCUAGGCCUGGUUUUAUAAAUGCUGGUGACAAAC